UACGUAGGGUGCAAGCGUUAAUCGGAAUACUGGGCGUAAAGCGUGCGCAGGCGGUUCUAUAAGACAGAUGUGAAAUCCCCGGGCUCAACCUGGGAACUGCAUUGGUGACUGGCAGGCUUUGAGUGUGGCAGAGGGAGGUAGAAUUCCACGUGUAGCAGUGAAAUGCGUAGAGAUGUGGAGGAAUACCGAUGGCGAAGGCAGCCUCCUGGGCCAACACUGACGCUCAUGCACGAAAGCGUGGGGAGCAAACAGG
rnacentral:rRNA from 1 species